GGCUAGGUAGCUCAGUCGGUACGAGCGUCCGCCUGAAAAGCGGAAGGUCGGCGGUUCGACCCCGCCCCUAGCCA
rfam:Nocardiopsis sp. JB363 genome assembly, contig: Scaffold83